UACACAUGCACAGGUGGCCACGCCCCGCGCAGGUAGAUCGGAAAGAUGGCGGCCGGGGUAACACGCUGAGUUUGAGCUCCGUAACUUUCUCGUGUUUUUAAUGUGUUUUUCUCGGGUGGGAGAGAGCAUGCAGGCGAGGACAAACGCGGGUUGUGUUUGAAAGAAGAGGCGCUGUUCCUGGUGUCUGGUCUUUGAGAUUGAAUCGACGGCUUGGUAAAAUCCCGGAUUCCCUGUUUGUUCUG